GACGUAGGGCGCGAGCGUUGUCCGGAUUUAUUGGGCGUAAAGAGCUCGUACGCGGCUUGUCGCGUCGAAUGUGAAAUCUCAGGGCUCAACUCUGACAUUGCAUUCGAUACGGGCAGGCUCGAGUUCGGUAGGGGAGACUGGAAUUCCUGGUGUAGCGGUGAAAUGCGCAGAUAUCAGGAGGAACACCGGUGGCGAAGGCGGGUCUCUGGGCCGAUACUGACGCUGAGGAGCGAAAGCGUGGGGAGCGAACAGG
rnacentral:rRNA from 1 species